GGAUGACUUCCCAAUUAUCUCCAGGAUAGAAGACUCUGUGGAACUGGUUUUGGGCAGAAAAGCCAUGCUUCAUUUGGUCACAAAGGAUUACGAUCUAUCUUUUGAACCAGUUUGGAUGAUUUUGACGUAUGUUUGUAUUUGGAGUAUGCUGAUUCUGAAAAUGUACGUUUAUGUGAAUGUGAUGCAUACUUCAAGUUAUAAAUAAUGUGGAAAAACUAUUUCUCUGGCUGUGAUAAUUACAUUACCCAUUGUGUAAGGUAAUUGUAUCACAGGCAGAGGGGAUGAUUUUGUGUGGGAG